AUGUUUAAACUUUAUUUUUCUUUCCAUAGGGUAACACCAUUUCCCGAGGAAAUGAUACAAUUUUGCACAUAUUUCACAGCCAAAGGAACUACGUCUUCUUUACUCGUGCUCUGCGCUCAUCUUGCAGUAGACUCCCGACGCUCGCAACUUCUGGAGGAGGCCCUGGGCUUGACCCGCAAGCAGCCUGCAGGCGCGGCCCCACCCUGCAGCGGAGGGAGGUCCGCUGUGCUGGGCUUUGCGCCCGCGGGAACUGCAGCGCCCAGGGGUCCCGGCAGGAGCGGGGAGCACGGGACGGGGUUCCGAGCGCAGCGACUCAUACGUAGGAGCGGGUUCACGGCCUAUUUCUCUUAUAGAAGCAGUUGCCACGUGGUGGCUGAAAACUGGAAGGAGCCACGCUGGCGGGCAGCGCAUCACACCCGCGCCCUCGCCACGCCCGCGCGCGCGCCUGCGCAGUGGGGUCGGACGCUGCCUCGGAGGGUGCUUCCGCUGCUCCUGUGGCUCUGGCUGUCCUGCCCUGCCGCUCCUUGUAGACAUGCGAGGACAUACAGUCUGCCCUCCACAUACGCCGUUCCGCAUCUGUGGGUUCAACUGACUGCAGAUUGUGUAAGUACUAUGUGUGGGGAUACAGAGGGCCAACAAAGGGACUUGGGCAUCUGUGGAUUUGGGUAUCUGCGGGCGGGUGGAGGGGGAUCUUGGAACCAAUCCCCAGUGGAUAUUGAGGGACGACUGUAUAUUCUUUUUCAAGUGAUGAAAUUUUUUUGUACAUUUCAGUGCAUUUUCUAAAAUAUUCUUGAAUUUCUUAUAGGAAAAUGUUCACAGAAAUGUUUGUUUUCCCUUUGGAUUUUAGCAUGAUUCUUGCUAGUUCUGUGAUUUUUUUCCCCUUGAAUAGAGUCGGCUCAGAUGCACAAGUCUGAGCCCGUCCAUACUCUGAUCUGGACGAGAAAGAUAAAUUGCUGUGCAUAUCCCACGGCCUUCAGAACCGAUUCCAGAUCUUCCCCUCCGUUGAGUAAUCUCAAAUCAAAAGGAAAUCAAACUGUUCUCUAAAUUGGGUAAUAUAUGAAAAAGUAAAUAUUCCCAACAUGCACUGCACUGGUCCUAGAAUCUUUCUGUCUCCACCCUUGAAGCAGGUAUCAAGGUGAUACAGGUGAUGGGAUGUCCCAGAAUGCACCACUCCCCUACUAGUUAUCCUUAUGUUUCUUCUUAUAAAUUGUGUUUAAAUAGCUUUAGAGAGUUGUUUAAAGACAUAUAGAUAAU
rnacentral:lncRNA from 1 species